GAUCGCGUGGCUCAAUGGUAGAGCAUUGGUCUUCGGAACCAAAGGUUGCGGGUUCGAGUCCCGCCGCGGUUA
rnacentral:tRNA from 1 species